CGCAGCCGCGGUAAUUCCAGCUCCAAUAGCGUAUAUUAAAGUUGUUGCAGUUAAAAAGCUCGUAGUUGAACUUCGGGGUCUACCCAUUGGUCAGGCUUAAUUGUCUGCACUGGUGAGAUGGAUCUCUACCUUCUGAGGAACUUUCAUGCCAUUUAUUUGGUGUGGUUGGAAAUCAGGACUGUUACUUUGAAAAAAUUAGAGUGUUUAAAGCAGACUAUCGUCUGAAUACAUUAGCAUGGAAUAAUGAAAUAGGACGGACUGAUUCUAUUUCGUUGGUUUCUAGGAUCACCGUAAUGAUUAAUAGGGAUAGUUGGGGGCAUUAGUAUUCAAUUGUCAGAGGUGAAAUUCUUGGAUUUAUUGAAGACUAACUACUGCGAAAGCAUUUGCCAAGGAUGUUUUCAUUAAUCAAGAACGAAAGUUAGGGGAUCGAAGACGAUCAGAUACCGUCGUAGUCUUAACCAUAAACUAUGCCGACUAGGGAUCGGACGAAGUUAAUUUUAUAAUGACGCGUUCGGCACCUUACG
rnacentral:misc_RNA from 1 species